AGGGUCGAUUUAAAAAUAAAACCAAAAAGUGCUGUCAAGAAUCUAUCUCAAUGCUUUGUCGUGUCGAGGAAAAUUGUAACAAAAUGCCUGCCACGGACCUACAAUACGUAGGGUGUAUUUGCGAUGAUAUAUGACAUGUUCACUGUCAUCGUCAAGCUGUGUAGCUUGAUUAGAAUAAAGAGCAGAGUGUCGCGAUAAUAUAGUGCGACGAAAGGCCAUUAUUAUGAACGGUGGAUGGAUAUGGAUUUGUUGGACUCGCAUAGAAAAAGUAAAAACAAGGCAGGAAUUUUCCGAGUUUCAACAAUGAAGUUUCAUUCAUCACAUUCUAUGGUUCUUUAUACCGUUGCAUAAUAAUGACGACUCACUGCUAGAAGCUUUAUGCUUCAACAAACUUAUUGCAAUGUAAAAGUUGUGAUAUAAUAAAUCAGUAGCGACCUC
rnacentral:misc_RNA from 1 species